AGGGUCGGCCUAGGGUAAAACUGGUGAUUGGGGCUAAGUCGUAACAAGGUAGCCGUACCGGAAGGUGCGGCUGGAACACCUCCUUUCUGGAA
rnacentral:rRNA from 1 species